rnacentral:rRNA from 1 species
GGAGUGAAAAAGAACCUGAAACCGUGUACGUACAAGCAGUGGGAGCCUCUUUAUGGGGUGACUGCGUACCUUUUGUAUAAUGGGUCAGCGACUUAUAUUCUGUAGCAAGGUUAACCGAAUAGGGGAGCCGAAGGGAAACCGAGUCUUAACUGGGCGUUAAGUUGCAGGGUAUAGACCCGAAACCCGGUGAUCUAGCCAUGGGCAGGUUGAAGGUUGGGUAACACUAACUGGAGGACCGAACCGACUAAUGUUGAAAAAUUAGCGGAUGACUUGUGGCUGGGGGUGAAAGGCCAAUCAAACCGGGAGAUAGCUGGUUCUCCCCGAAAGCUAUUUAGGUAGCGCCUCGUGAAUUCAUCUCCGGGGGUAGAGCACUGUUUCGGCAAGGGGGUCAUCCCGACUUACCA